GGGUACAAUUCAACUCACCAUAGUUACUGUUUAUUAUUCUGAUCCCUGAAGUUAAAUCAGAAAAUUUUGCUCCUGGGGCUUUACAAAAUAUAACCUUCCGUGGAAAUGAUCAAUAAAUACGUUGAAUACAACGGCGAGUCCAGCAUACGAUGGCAAACUUUUUUCGAGGUUGAUCCGUUGGGACACAUGAAUAAUGAUUUAGAACGAAUUGCUACGUUAUUUAGAGGCAUAUUGUGGGUGUCCAUCGCGCCACUGCACUCAACUAUCCUGUAUACUAUUUACAGUGCGAACUAUUCUAGACGGAAGUAACAUAGACGAUCAAGAACGCCAAGUGGAUCCCAAGAUACGGGCAGCGCAGCUGUUUUGCAGAGUUGCAGUUUGUAGGUUUUAUAAAAACGUCCAAGAAGAAGACUGAUCACAUUACAAAAGUGACCUGGUGAAUCGAAAAUCGAUUUCGAAACCGUCCUUGUGAUGGUCUCUAUGAUGUUCAAAACCAACGAAGUUGAAAUUUGAUUGAGCUGCGUUUGCGUGU